UGGGUAACCUGCCUCAAAGAGGGGAAUAGCCUCCCCGAAAGGGAGAUUAAUACCGCAUAAUAUGUUUAGGUCGCAUGACCUUAACAUCAAAGGAUUUUCUUUUAAGAAAUUCCACUUUGAGAUGGACCCCGCGGCGCAUUAGCUAGUUGGUGAGGUAACGGCUCACCAAGGCAACGAUGCGUAGCCGACCUGAGAGGGUGAUCCGGCCACAUUGGAACUGAGACACGGUCCAGCUCCGUAGGGAG
rnacentral:rRNA from 1 species